UGGGGAAUCUUGCACAAUGGGCGCAAGCCUGAUGCAGCCAUGCCGCGUGUGUGAAGAAGGCCUUCGGGUUGUAAAGCACUUUCAGCGGGGAGGAAGGCGUUAAGGUUAAUAACCUUGGCGAUUGACGUUACCCGCAUAAGAAGCACCGUCUAACUCCGUGCCAGCAGCCGCGGUAAUACGGCGGGUGCAAGCGUUAAUAGGAAUUACUGGGCGUAAAGCGCACGCAGGCGGUCUGUCAAGUCGGAAGUGAAAUCCCCGGGCUCAACCUGGGAACUGCAUUCGAAACGGGCAGGCUAGAGUCUUGUAGAGGGGGGUAGAAUUCCAGGUAUAGCGGUGAAAUGCGUAGAGAACGAGAGGAAUACCGGUGGCGAAGGCGGCCCCCUGGACAAAAACUGACGCUCAGGUGCGAAAGCGUGGGGAGCAAACAGG
rnacentral:rRNA from 1 species